rnacentral:lncRNA from 10 species
AUUUAGUUCUCCUAACAACAGUAGGGGGGCCACUUCAAGUCGACAUGGAGAAGUUUAAUUAGAUUGCCUCAAGCAAGAAUGUUAUUCUCCAAGUUUCACGAUAUUGGCAUUAACUCCCGGACUGAAGUAAGUGCAAUUUACACAUGUGUGUGAUGCCUGCUGAAGUGGAGGACAGUAUUUUCUACAAAAUCCUGAUAUCAGAAGAGGCUGGAAGAAAGGCAUUUGUAAUUGACUUCAUAUUUACAAUUGCUUAAAAAUCCAGCAACUGGUGAUCAUAAAUAUGUUUAUCCCUUUAACACAGAAAGUGUUUGAUAUGCUAAGUUAGACCCAGAUUCAAUGCAAGAAGAAAAAUGUACCCACGUGAAUACCUGGUGGAAUAGAAACACUGCUUAUACCACUCCCACAAGGUGUAAUUUUAACUGAAUUACUGUCAAUUUGUCAACAAACUACCAGGCAAUUCAUUAAACUACUGGUUAUUCGGCAACCUAGACUAUUGACAUAUUUAAGCAACACACUACUGAUAAACUUGGAAAAUAUCUCCUAUGUUUUGCUACUCGAAAUACUCUAGCACUCUCAAUCAUAUUCAUUCAGUCAUCCAUCCAUUCAUUCAACCAGCUCUUACCAAGUAUCUAUUAGGAACACAUGAGUGAUGACUAAAUCAGACAAGGUCUCUAUCCUAAUGCUGGGGAUAGUCUAGAAAACUCCCCAAAAUACUGUGUGUGAAUCUCAAAUUCUAGAAGGAGAACUGUUGAGUUUGAGGCUUUUAAUAAUGCAUACAGCAAUGCCACCUCCACUAGCAGUUGACCAGACACUUACCAUCAUUCUUUUUAUCAUUGCCAGUUUGACAGGCAGAACAUGGCAUUUCAGGUUUGUGUUUUAUUACCAGUAAGACUGAAUAUCUUUCCAAAUAUUUGUUGACCAGAUGUACCUAUUUCAUGAGUUAUCUUUAUGUCCUUCACUUUGAGUUCUACAUACAGGCCUCUGCAUAUUCUCUGCACAUUUUUUGACUGGUUUUCUUCCCCUUCAUAAAGUAUUUUACACAGUAAAUACAUUAACCCUUUGUCAGCAAAUAAAUCUGUAAAUUUGUG